rnacentral:lncRNA from 12 species
UUUCCGUGGAACUCCGUGGCUGUGUGCAACAGCUGCAGUGCUGACCCCUCCAAAGCCGCGCCUGCAGAGGGCUGGGGAGCCUGAGCUCUGCCUGCCUCCAAGGCAGCGCCGGGCUCUGCCGUGCCCGCUGUGAGUCACCAGGGCAGCGGCUGUGCCAGCGCCUCCUGCUCUGGGCACUCCCCAGCCAGCUCUCUCGCUCUCAGAGCGAGACCUGAUCUGUGCAACAGACCUGCUCCCUCCCGAGGGAAAGCUCUGCGCUGCCUUUUUGCCUUACCCAGACAGACAGAACCAUGAACCCUUGAGAUACUGGGAAUGCCGGCCACUAGCAAGCUGGGAAGAGGAAAUAGGUUUUAUUCCCGAGAUUUCCUUGAAGACAUUCACUUGACUUUGUGGCAUCAGAGAUGGAAGAGAAAUGAAGAACACAAGAAUCUUGGCACAGCAGGAGAGAUUGUGCACGGAUAAUAACAGAGAGAAGCACCAGGUCAAUUGGGAGCUGAAAUAUACUUAGGUGAUUGAAUCCUUGUGUCAGGUUAAAGCUUUGAUGAUCUGCUGGGCUCAACUAAUUUCAGCAUUACAGCCAGAACCUCUGUGCUGGCACUGAGGACCUAAAACAGGGAAUUUGCUGGGAAGACACAUUCAUGAUGGAUUACAA